UGAGCCAAUCACAGUGCACAUAGCUAACCCAAUACACUCGGACAUUCUCUGCUUCCACGUCCAUUGAAAUGCAUUGCAGUUAGUCCGUUUUCAUUCGUUUUUAUAUGUAUUUUCGUGACAUUUUAAGUUUAAAAUGGUCAAACGGUGUACAUGGGGUACAUGCAACUCCGAUACUAGGUAUCCCGAGAGGCUGGGCGACGGUGUCUAUUUUUUACCCUUUCCAAAGCCACAUCUCAACCCAGAUAAGUGUCUGCUCUGGAUUAAGUUAUGUGGUAGACCACAACACCAACUAAACGUGAAUAAAAUCAACAAGGACGUCUACAUCUGUUCUAAGCAUUUUGUCAAUGGAGGCCCAGCACUGAGUUUCCCCAUACUCACCAAGCUACAAGGACUGGAUCUACUGUAGGACAGAGGUGUCGUCCAUCUCCAAAAAAGAGGUGUGAAUCAGCUCCCAGAAGGACCAAGAAGGACAGAAAAAUCAGGAGAGGAGUGCCGCUAGAGGAUAAGCAACCACCCGUGCAACAGCAGCCAGAGGAAGUGCCAGAACAUCUGGACCAGCAUCCACCACUGGAGCUGCCCUCAAGGGAAGUGGAGCAAGAGCUGCUGACAUUAAGGACUAUGCUGGCCCAGAAGGAUGCUGAAAUUGAAG